rnacentral:misc_RNA from 1 species
AAAUUUACAUCCAAAACACUCACUUCAAACUCUCCUCUCCUCUCCCCCUCUUCUCUCAAAUAAAAACCCUAAACACACUCUCCAUCUCCUCUUAAAUCCCCAAAUCUCGCACCCCAAAUCUUGUUUUUAUCCCCUUGAUUCGUCCUUUCAGGUGGAUUUCUCGGGUUUCAAUGGUAUGAGAUUCAAGCCUCAGUCUCAGAUUUCCAAGGAUCUGUAGAUAUAAGUUAUUAUAUCUUUAUAUAUUUAGCCAC